GGGCUUGCUUCAGCAGCCCAUAUACCUAAAAUUGGAAUACAAAGAAGAUUAUCAUGGCUUCUGAAGAGGAUGACACAAAAACUCACAAAGCACUCCAUAUUUUU
ensembl:snRNA U6 U6 spliceosomal RNA